GUGACAGCAGCCGCGGUAAGACGUAGGGCGCGAGCGUUGUCCGGAUUUAUUGGGCGUAAAGAGAUCGUAGGCGGUUUCGUUAGUCGGGUGUGAAAACUUCAGGCUCAACCUGGAGACGCCACCCGAUACUGCGAUGACUAGAGUCCGGUAGGGGAGUGUGGAAUUCCUGGUGUAGCGGUGAAAUGCGCAGAUAUCAGGAGGAACACCAACGGCGAAGGCAGCACUCUGGGCCGGAACUGACGCUGAGGAGCGAAAGCGUGGGUAGCGAACAGGAUUAGAUACCCUCGUAGUCC
rnacentral:rRNA from 1 species